AUGAAGGGUUUGUGCUGUGAAAGGAACAUGGAUGAGGUGUUUGCACUUUAACCAUGCGGAAUCGACAUCAAGAGGUUUCGGAAACACAAUUUUUGUUUCUUGGAACUGCUGGUGAUGGUUUGUCUCCUCGCUCCA